rnacentral:rRNA from 1 species
UACGUAGGGUGCGAGCGUUGUCCGGAAUUAUUGGGCGUAAAGAGCUCGUAGGCGGUGUGUCACGUCGGCCGUGAAAACCUGCAGCUUAACUGUGGGCGUGCGGUCGAUACGGGCAUCACUGGAGUUCGGCAGGGGAGACUGGAAUUCCUGGUGUAGCGGUGAAAUGCGCAGAUAUCAGGAGGAACACCCGUGGCGAAGGCGGUUCUCUGGGACGGUACUGACGCUGAGACGCGAAAGCGUGGGGAGCGAACAGG